GUGGUAUUCAUGCUUGCAUUUACAUACUGCAUAGUCGCUAAUAGGCUCCCCAUUUGGCCCCAUCAUUUAGAGUUAGAAUGGGUGAAUAGUAUAUAUAUAUAUAUUUUUUUGAAAAAUGUAAAAGAAUUAAAAAAUUUUGAUUUAUUUGAAAUACUAUUUUAUUGAAAAUUGUGUGAUUAAAAAUAGAAGAGAAAAAUUUAAAUUAAAUUGAUGAAUUUUAAAGAAAACCAAACGAGGGCUACAUUUACUUUUCAAGUUUAAAGUAAUUGUAAUUAACUAAAGACUUAAAACGAUUAAUUCCAUAUAAAAAUUUUUAAAAUUUAUAUUUCUUCAAACUCAUCAAAUAAAUUGUGUGUUCGGUAAUAAUUAUAAGAAUUGAUUUUUUGAUCGUUAA
rnacentral:lncRNA from 1 species